rnacentral:rRNA from 1 species
AGAGAGAGACAUGCGCGCAUAUCAAUAAGCGGAGGAAAAGAGACUAACAAGGAUUCCCUUAGUAACGGCGAGUGAAGCGGGAAGAGCUCAAAUUUGAAAUCUUCAAGGUUUUACCUUGACGAAUUGUAGUUUAAAGAAGUGUUUUCUGCUGAAGUUUUGGUAAAAGUUCUUUGGAAUAGGACAUCAUAGAGGGUGAGAAUCCCGUAUUUGACCAUUAUUUUCAGCUUUGUGAUACACUUUCAAAGAGUCGGAUUGUUUGGGAAUGCAGUCCAAAAUGGGUGGUAAAUUUCAUCUAAAGCUAAAUAUUGGCGAGAGACCGAUAGCGAACAAGUACCGUGAGGGAAAGAUGAAAAGAACUUUGAAAAGAGAGUUAAACAGUACGUGAAAUUGUCAAAAGGGAAGCGUUUGACACCAGUGUUGUCUUCUCGAAAAUCAAUUAAAAAUGGCUCGAUUUUGUAUUGCUGAGACCUUAAAAGCUCACUGUACAUUUUUCGUGUCUUUUUUAAUGCACUUUUCGUUUAACAAGUCAACAUCAGUUUCUUUUGUUGUAAAAGGGUCAUUGGAAGGUGGCUUUCUUUUCGGAGAAAGUGUUUAUAGCCUUUGGCCUCUGCAAUCGAAGAGACUGAGGUCUGCAGCGUAGACUCUUCGGGGUUAGAUACAUUUGUGCUAAGUUAUAGCUUUUUAUAGACAACUUGUUGACUAUAAUUAGUCUUGUAGCUUACUCGCUUAUGCUAUUUUACCUACGCUUAGGAUGUUGAAGAUGUAGCACAUCAU